rnacentral:lncRNA from 1 species
GUGAGCUGCGCGCCGAGAGCGGAAGAGGAGACGCAGUUUGGCGGCUGUGGGGAUUUGCCGGAAGGUUAAUAAUGUCCAUGGGCACAUCGGCCUCCUCCUUUCUUAUUCUCUCCCAAGUGUAAUUCCAGGACGCCCCCUGAGCGCAGAUUCAUCCAGGCAUUUGGCCUAGAGGCCCGCGGAGGAGAAAUAAAGUACAGGCCUGGUAGGACCUUUGAGAACCUGGGCUUCAGCUACAAAACCAGAGCCCCAGUCCUUCAUCUGCUGUCUCCUCAAGCUCUUUUCAGUGUAUUGUGGAGUUCAUUACCACUCUAAGCUCGCACGGAAGUGUACACCAGCUUCGUGAUCUUAAAAGCAAAACAAAAUCAAAUGGACUAGGAAUUAACUUGAAGCAGAGUUGUGACACUUAAGUGGUUUCUUGCCAUCAGUUUCCACGCACUGCUUUAAGAUGCAAUUUUACAAGGUACCACAUGAUGGAAGUCAGUCCAAUCUUUCCUAUCCUGUUUCAUCCACCACCACAAAAUACCUAAGUGACAGCUAUGGGACUAUCUACAGGCAAUACAUACAAGCUGUUGACAAGUUUUUGCAUGGAAAAUGAAGAAGCUGAGACCAUUCACUGCUGUUUCUAAUAGACUUCUCAGAAAGAAUAAGAGAAUAGUAAUCAAAUUGUGGUCAAAGCCAUCUAACAGAGGAUAACAGACCCAGGAAUCAGUUAAAUUCAAGGACUUGAAACAGUUUGCAAAAGCUGCAGCAGGGCAUUUUCCUUUGUGAGGGAAAGCUCCAGGAUCAGUUCUAAAAGACAAAAGAAUAUUAAUACUAAUGUCCCUUUAUCCCCCAGUGCCUUUCCAAGUGCUUAGGUCUCAGUCUCUCUCUCUCUGUCUCUCUCUCUCUAACACUGCCACAAAAUUAAUGUGUCCCAUUCUAGUAACUAUAACCUCUUUCCAAUCAUGCUUCUAAUCUCACCUAAAAUUUUCAUCUGGAACAGUCAGUCAAGAGCAAGAGUGACAAGGGAAUUUUUAUAAAACAUAUAAAAACCCAUUAUGUCCCUCACUUGUGGCUUUUAUGGGUCAGUGUCAGGGGACUAGGUGGAGAGUAUCAACCCAAAGCAGGAUAGUAAGGGCCUGAAUACUAGACAUUGCUUCAUCUCUGGUUUCCCGUGGCAGGUUCUCUGUCUCAGGAAUCUCUUACUGAGAGGGCCAGGUACACUUACAGCAGCCAGCGCCUACUCCAAGAAAACUCGUACUGUCAUCUUCAAAAAGAUCUAAUAUUGGCCUGAUAGAAUUCAGGAGGAGUUGAGCUAUAAGAGGUUGCCAUUGCUGUUGCCAUUCCUCCUUAACAAACAUUGUGCACCUCUCUCCCUCAUCUCCCAAGCUAACAAGCCAAAGUUCUUAAGAUUUGCAAAAUUUCUGUCCAUAGCAGUCCCAAAUCCUCUCCUUUUGCAUUUAGAGGUGCAUAUCUCCGUAACUAUUUUCUGAAAAGGAUCAGAACCUUACUCUAACCCAGAAUGGAUCUUAGUUCUCGUUGUUACAAUGGGAUGGGAGUGACACUGACCAUCAGAUCGACCCUCCUGCCCCCACCUCAAUGAACCUAUUUUCCAGUACUCAGCCUGCAGCCAUCUCCCUAGUUCCUCCUUGGUAGCAGAGAAUGAAAGAGGGGAGGAUCACUUAUUGCUUGAUUGACUAGACAGUUUGAAUAAUAUGGCUGCUACUAAAUCCUACAGACUUCCCUCAAAUUAUCACUGAACUAUUGGAAGGCUCUUGUCUUUCUUAUUCCAGAAAGCCAUGUCUUGUCAGUAUUCCAUCUUUAUUACCAAAAAUGGUAAGAAUAGUAAGAGUCUGUAAUUUUACCUUGCUAGAAAACAAGUUAGCAUGGCACAAAUUCAUAGACACUGGCAGGAGAUAUGAGAUUCCUGGGCCAGGGAUAAAGAACAAUUUAUUAAUCAGAGCAAUAGCAGUAAUCAGAGUAACAACAUUUGUGCUAGUUCUUCAAGCCCUGAUUCCCACAGAGCACACUCAGUGAGUUGCAUUACCCAAGAGCAACCCUAUUUAGGAAACCCCAAUAUUUUCUAAAACCCUUGCUAGAAAACCUUUUCAACCUUUUUCCAGUGGAAGACAUUGUCUUUAUUAUCAUGAACAGCCAACAAACCUGCCUUCUUCCCCAAAGGGAGACACUAUAUUUUCCAAAGCUGUUUGCUAUACAGACAUUCUUGAAAAGACAGUCUAGAAAAAAGCUACGAAUACAAUUGCUCAGAAGAUAUGCAAAAACAGAAGAUCUAUGGAGAAUUAUCUCCCAACACCUCCAUAAAUAUAUUCACACAUAGACCCAAAUGUAAAACCUAAAUCUAUAAAGGUUCUAGAACAAAAUAUAGGAGUAACUUGAGUUACCUUAACAACCAACAAGGUCAGGGGUGGUCCAGAAAGCUUGACCCACAGGGACAGAGACAGGACUUUGGUGAGGCAAGCAGGGCAUCUCCUAUGAAAAAUCUAAGCACUCACUGUUAGGUGCUGAGCCUGCACUUGCAAAACCUGAGAGUGAGCACCUCCUUAAAUUUUUUAUUUUCCUAGUUGGGCUUGCCAUAAUCUCCACACUGCAUCCUUUUCCUUCACUGACACAAAAUCACAGAGAAUGGCAGCUUGUUUUGCUCAAAGCAGCAGUACAGCUUACUUACAUCACAACCUGGACCUGCUACAUUUUCUGUCCUAAGCCCCAUUCAAACCUGGCAGCAUUCCAUGUCACAUUUUAUCUGCUGGAUUAGCAUUUGGAGAUACAGAAUGUAUUGCUUCCACAACCCAAAGAGACCCAUGACAUUAUACUUCCUUCUUUGUAGUAGGACAUGGAUUCUUACUAGGAAUAAUAUCACCCCCAAGGGGGCAAAAAUUGGUAUUUAAUGGUUUAUGUGGUCCUGUAGUCUUCCAAAGGUCACACUACCUAAACAAAUAUACAGUACAUCUGUGCUAUCAAUAUUUCAUGAUGGAGAGGUAAUUAGGGGUAAAAUGUCUAAAAAACUUCCUUACCAGGGCAUUAACAACAAAAAGGUUGAGAAACACUGUAGCAGGAGAAGAUGCAACAACAACCAAAAAAGACAUUUUUUAAAGAGGAUGUCUCUACAUGCCUUUGAUCGUCAGAUCUCUGAAGUAUUUACUGAAGAGAUGGCAUCCACCACAGAAGAAGCACAGAACAACUUUAUGGACAAAAUAAUUCAGCCUGCUAAUGUUAGCCAACCUUUGUCUUCAGCCACCCCAGACCACAUAGCCACAUGAAAGAAGUGGUCAUAGUAACAGAGAUAGAGGCUACACCUGAGACCAAAAGCAUGGACUCCCUCUCACCAAGGUCAGUCUAGCUACUGUUGCCUCUGAAUGUCCUCCAUGGCAGCAGCAGAAACCAGUAUUCUUGUAUGACACUAUUCCUUCAAGAGACCACUUGUCCAUUUGAUGGCAGGUUGAUUAUGUUGAGUCCCUUCCAUCCUGGAAGAGCCAGUGAAAUACACGGAUCUGGAAACCAAAGGAUGAAAGCAGGAAAUAUUUAGCUAGCAUCACUCCCAAUAACCACUAAGGAGAUUUGUACAUCUCUUCCUGCAAUCCUGGACCUCAAAAACUUAGACAUUUUGGUUCCCAAAAGAGGCAUAACAAGCCUCCUACUGAACUACAAGCUACAGCUGCCACAUGGGCACUCUGAACUUUUCGUUUCCAGGAACCACAAGGCUGUGAGAAGGAGUCACAGUCUUGGUAGUCUAGAUGACACUGACGAGCAGGAUGAGGUAGAGAUAAUGUUAGACAAUGGUGGUGGAGAGGAAUAUGUGUGAAAUUCAGGUGAUCCACUUGAGUGCCUCUUGGUACUUCCUUGCCCAAUGUGACUGUGAAUAAGCAAGUACAGCAAACCUGGCCUGAAGUCGACAAAAGCUAUAGAGGAGCUGCACUCCAAAUGUGUAAGGACAAAUACAUGUAAAGCAAAGAGGGGACUGUAGCAGACACGAAAACAUGCCACUUACAACUCUCUUCAAGAAGGAACCUGCAGCAAAGAAUGUAGACUAGUGAAAACCAGCUAUGGAUGUCUUCAGGAUUUGUCUUAUUAAUAACUUUUGAGCUGAGGCCACUUGCCUCCUGGGCAUCCUCCAGCUGAUGACUGAGCAUGCAAUGAUGUAAAGAUUUGCUGUUUCUGGCCAGUGUGAGACUCCUCUGUGAACAAUAUUUGUUUUUGAGAUCACUGGGCUUUCUAAUACAUUCCCAGAGCUACCCCCACAGUUUGAUGCUCUUUUAUAUAGUCCUCUUUCUUUUCCCCACUCUUUUCACAGGUAUCAGACUGGUAUCACAGCCUGAAAGCUUUCUCUGCCACUCCUACUCUCUUUCCUUUAACUUUCACAAUUAUAAAUCUCCUUCACUUAUAACUCCAUUUGGCAUAUGCAUCCUGGAGGACCCAAAUCAACACAGACCUAGCCAUAAAAACAAAAAAACAUAAAGCUAUGAAAGCAAAAAGUGUAAAGAAAACAUAGGUGAAUAUAUUAAUGA